rnacentral:lncRNA from 1 species
CCUGUUCGACUACGUCGGUUCGUCUGCCUCACGGAGUCAUUCUUCUUCCAAGCGGGAUCUCAGGCAAGAUGAUCAUUUCCCCAGAUACCAUUACUAUCAUUGCCAUGCUAGUGUUAUCGCUUCUAUCGAUUAUGUCUCGUUGCCUACCACCUGUUAAAUAUCAGCCUCUCAACAAUGCCAUGAAAACCUUCAACCUGUUCAACCUAGCAAACCACUGAUUGGCUAUGUUACUGCUUGCUUAACCCUGUUGUUAGCGUUGCUAGUUGCAGGUGCAGAUGCUUCCAUGUGAAAGCAUGGGUUCCUUGUUAUAUCACCAUAUUAAAUGCUAUUUAAUUUAAUGCACCUAUAUACUUGGUAAAAGGUGGAAGGCUCGGCCUUUCUAGCCUGGUGUUUUGUUCCACCUUUGCCCCCUUAGUUUUGGCUACCGGUGUUAUGUUCCAUAAAUGAGCGCUCCUAACACGAUCGGGGUUGUUAUGGGGACCCCCUUGAUAAUUCGUUUUAGAUUAAAGCUGGUCUGGCAAGGCCCAACUUUGGUACAAAAUUUGCCUAAACACCUAAUAAAAUUGCAUAGGGACUUCCCGGGCCCCGAGGAUAAUUUAAUCAACCCCCGGGCCAGUGCUCCUCAUGAGUGUUGGCCCCACCUGAGCGAUGUCCGGCGCCCCUCUGGUCACCCGGAGGUUUAGCGAUCCCGACGUCUAGCUCAUCCACCGUGUCCUGAGAACGGGGUACGCGACUCCUAUUGGGAUCGUCGACACGUCGGGCGGCCUUGCUGGAUUAGUUUUACCUUUGACGGAAUAUCUUGUGCAUCGGGAUUCCGGUGAUGCUUUGGGUAAUCUCAGAGUUGAGGUUUUCUACUAGGGAAUCCGACGAGAUCACGAGCUUCGUGAUUGAUGAUUUCGAUGCGGCUUGUGGUAAUUUGUGAUGGACUAGUUGGAGCACCCCUGCAGGGUUAAAUCUUUCGGAAAGCCGUGCCCGCGGUUAUGUGGCAACGUGGAAACUUUGUUUAACACUGGUUCUAGAUAACUUGAAUUUAACUUAAUUAAAACUUGCCAACUGUGUGCGUAACCGUGACUGUCUCUUUCGUGAGUUCCUUUUCCUAUCGAGGACACGGUGGGGUUAUGUCUGACGUAGAUAGGUGUUCAGGAUCAUUCAUUUGAUCAUCAGUAGUUCACGUUCGUUAUGCGUAGAUCUUCCCCCCUUAUUUCUGGUAUUCGUAAGUUAGCCACCAAAUAUAUGCUUAGUCGCUGCUGCAACCUCACCACUUAACCACGCCUCACCCAUUAAGCUUUGCUAGUCUUGAUACCUUUGGAAAUGAGAUUGCUGAGUCCCCUGUGGCUCACAGAUUACUACAACUCCAGUUGCAGGUACAGGUAGAGGUUACUUGACGCGAGCGCGUUGAUUGUUCAUUUGAAGUUGCUUCUUCUUCUUCUUCUUCAUCGAUCUAGGAUGGGUUCCAGGCCGGCAGCCUGGGAUAGCAAGGAUGGACGUCGUUCUUAUUUUUCUCGUUUGUUUUCGUCCGUAGUCGGACCCUGCUCUUACUCUUGGUGAUUAUGUAAUGUACUGAUGUGACUCUGAUGUAGCUUGUGGCGAGUGUAAGCC